rnacentral:rRNA from 1 species
CCUACGGGAGGCAGCAGUGGGGAAUCUUAGACAAUGGGGGCAACCCUGAUCUAGCCAUGCCGCGUGAGUGAUGAAGGCCUUAGGGUCGUAAAGCUCUUUCGCCUGUGAUGAUAAUGACAGUAGCAGGUAAAGAAACCCCGGCUAACUCCGUGCCAGCAGCCGCGGUAAUACGGAGGGGGUUAGCGUUGUUCGGAAUUACUGGGCGUAAAGCGCGCGUAGGCGGAUUAGAAAGUUGGGGGUGAAAUCCCGGGGCUCAACCUCGGAACUGCCUCCAAAACUGCUAGUCUAGAGUUCGAGAGAGGUGAGUGGAAUUCCGAGUGUAGAGGUGAAAUUCGUAGAUAUUCGGAGGAACACCAGUGGCGAAGGCGGCUCACUGGCUCGAUACUGACGCUGAGGUGCGAAAGUGUGGGGAGCAAACAGGAUUAGAUACCCUGGUAGUCCACACCGUAAACGAUGAAUGCCAGUCGUCGGGUAGUAUACUAUUCGGUGACACACCUAACGGAUUAAGCAUUUCGCCUGGGGAGUACGGUCGCAAGAUUAAAACUCAAAGGAAUUGACGG